UGCGCAGGCGGUUGAUUAAGUCAGAUGUGAAAUACCUGGGCUUAACCUGGGAAUGGCACUUGAGACUGGUCGGCUAGAGUGUGUCAGAGGGGGGUAGAAUUCCACGUGUAGCAGUGAAAUGCGUAGAGAUGUGGAGGAAUACCGAUGGCGAAGGCAGCCCCCUGGGAUAACACUGACGCUCAGGCACGAAAGCGUGGGGAGCAAACAGGAUUAGAUACCCUGGUAGUCCACGCCCUAAACGAUGUCAACUAGUUGUUGGGUCUACUAAGACUUGGUAACGCAGCUAACGCGAGAAGUUGACCGCCUGGGGAGUACGGUCGCAAGAUUAAA
rnacentral:rRNA from 1 species